ensembl:miRNA
UGUUCCGGGCACCUGUGGAGAGCCCAGGCAUCCAGGGUCUGUUGCUUUCCUUUAAAGUCAGGCCAUGAUGCUCUCUGAGCCUGGGUUAGGAGCAGAGAUGAAG